UGUAACACCUAACAGCAGCCUCACCCGUGCUUUGAAGCAAAGUCUCUCACUGUAAUUAAGGCAGUUCAUACUCCAGGGCUCUCCCCCAGACUCCACAGUGGACAGUAAAUUACUUUUUCCUCUCUUUCACCCUUUAUUUUUUUUUUUAACAUAACACACUAUCAUAAAACUGAUCAAAGCUGCCUGAGGGCCAACUCAGUUUUCUGACCCAUAAAUCUUGUAUGAGUCAUCAGGCAGGCAUGAAAAGUCAGACCUGUAUUAAAAAUAACCAGUUAUGCCAAGUUCUGCCCGACCUUAAUAAUGUUUUGGUUUCUCUUAAGACGCUGCAGAGACAUCUGCUCUUCUGGACUCAGAUUUCUUCUAUGUAUAUACAAGUCAACUCAGCCUCAAUGUCCACCCAUCCUNNNNNNNNNNNNNCUGAAUUACCAAAAACGUGUUAGUUAGCCUCUAGUAGAAAUUGUUGAAGUUUUACCACUUCUAAAAACUAUUUUAUGUACUGCAUUUUUCUCCAUCAGCCCAAAGCACCAUGCUUUUAAAAAAACUCUAGGAGUUCCCGUUGUGGCACAGCAGAAACAGGUCUGACUAGGAACCAUUAGGUUGCGGGUCUGAUCCCUGGCAUCACUCAUGGGUUAAGGAUCUGGUGUUGCCAUGAGCUGUGGUGGAGGUCACAGAUGUGGCUCGGAUCCUGCGUUGCUGUGGCUGUGGUGUAGGCUGGCAGCUGUAGCUCUGAUUAGACUCCUAGCCUGGGAACCUCCAUAUGCUGCGGGUGUGGCCCUAAAGAGCAAAAAAAAAAAAAAAAAUCCAUAAAACUCUAAAGGAGUUCCCACUGUGGUGCAGUGGGUUAAUGAUCCUGCUUGUCUCUGUGGAGGUGCUGGUUUGAUCCCCUGCCCAGCGCAGUAGGUUAAGGAUCCAGCAUUGUUGCAGCUGUGGGGUAGGUCACAGCUCCGGCUCGGAUUUGCUCCCUGGCCCGGGGAACUUCCAAAUGCCACCAGGGGUGGCCAAAAAAGAAAGAAAAGAAAAGAAAACCUCUAUGUAUCAACAAAAGAAAACGUCUAAACAAUGAAGAAAAACUUCAAGAAAAAAAAAAAUGAAGAAGAAAUCAAGCCACCCUGGCAUAGGCUGGCAGGUGAGAUGGGCUGGCAGAAACCACAGGGAGGAAGCAAAUUCCAGCUGUGAGGAACUGCAGCCUAAAAUCCCCGCGGCCCCAGUGGUCAGACGACACACAGGGCCCCCGGCUGCAGCAGUUAGGAAACUAUGAAGAAAGAGCUUUCUUUUGACAUCCUCAGGCUGCAGCCCUGAGGAGUGUGUACAUCAAACCAAUCGUCCACGGAAGAAAAACAUCAACAACGACAGCCGCCCUGCCGAUGACAAACUGGCAACGGGGCUAAUUAGAGGCUGGGGACGCAGGCCACUUCCCCUGCUGGGUACGCAGUCCACUUCCCCGAGACACGGAGGAAAAACCACGGCAUCUCUCUAAGUGCCUUCUGUGAGUUUUCAUUGCAGUUCCCAAACCACUUUAAUAGACAUCUAGCCCUUGAUUUAAUAAGCAGAAAACUUGAGAGCCUCUAAGAGGUAGGUACAUAUUAUCUGUUUUAUAGACAGGUAAUUUGGGGAACACAAUUUCUCAGUAAUGACUCAGUUAAGGCAGGAGGGCUACCUGAUGAUUGAUUCGGCCAUUACAAAUCCCUGCCUGGAACCCUGAUUAGAAGUUGAAUACAUGUAAUUUAACUGAAGAGUUACCUGUGAACCCAUUUUUGGAUUAAAUAAAAAAUGCUAAAGGUCUAUAGAUAGGAGUUCCCUGGUGGCUCAGUGGGUUAAGGAUCUGGCGUUCUCGCUGCUGUGCCUCAGGUCAGUCCCUGACCUGGGAACUUCCACGUGCUGCAGGUGCUGCCCCCCCCCACAAAAAAAGAUAGAAAGAAAUGAUAAUCAAACGCCAGAUCCACGAGGGACUGCAAAAUCCCGAUAUUCUAAUUUUGUCAUUUCCUCUUCAGUUAUCAGCUGAUAGACUUUCACAAAAAGAAAUUUCUUUAUAUUUACUAUUUGGGUAGCUAAGCGGUGGGGCUGAAAUGACAAACCCUUUAAUCACAUGUCAGCCCCAUCCCGAAGCUACCGGAGGGCCCACCAAGAGUCACUUUCAUUAGCACAAACUCAGGUGUGGUUGGAAGGGGCGGGCGUGUUAGCAACAAGAGAUCACCCCAUCACUCAGGAAAUUAGACGGCUCUAGGAGCUCUCUGCCAGGAAAGGGGACAAAGACCAAAUAUGCCUUUCCUAUGACAUUACAGGUAUAUAUACCCUAGAACAGGGGUUGGGAAACCAUGGCCUCUGGGCAAAAAAAUGCCCACUUGCUUUUGGUACAGCCUGCUAGCUAACAGUGUUGACAUUCCUAAAGAGUUGCUUUAAAAAAAAAAAAAAAAAAAAAAAAAAAAAAAAAAAAAAAAAAAAAUUUUAUUUCAUGAAUGACAUUUUACAUCAACAGCUAAUAAUGCAAAAAGACAGACAAGCAGACAUUAUGUGCCUCCUGAUGGAAAAACACAUCACCACCCACUGCACACUCCUGCCAAAUACAAACAAUCCAACAAUAACAAAAUAUCAAACCUGCAUCUAACCAAGCCUCUAGAUCCAAAUACCAAUUAACAGGAAAUAAAGGGAACAGUGGAACAUAUUAAAUUCCAAAACAAGAAUGUAAUCAGCAAAAUUCAGGCUAUGAAAAACAUUCAAGGAGGAAAAUAUGAUGAAUUACAAGGAGAGCGAGCGAGAGAUGGAGAAUUACAUUUUUUUUUUUAAGACACACCAACCAAUUACCAAGUACAGGUGUUACUUGAAUCACCAUUCAAACUUUUAAAAAAUUAUGACAUUGAGACAACUGGAAAUAUGAACACUGGCAAUCAAUCUUAGUAGGGAAGUAUGAUUCAUUUCUCCUAUGAGAGAGUGAUGAUAGUACUGUUUUUAAAAGUAGCCUUUAUCUUUUAGAGAUAGUGACCUAUUUAACAAUGUCUGGAAUUUGCUUCAAAAUAGUAUGAGGGUAGAGAAAGUGAUAGGGGCAGUAUGAAAAACGAUGGCCCACGCUGAUGCAAGCCAGAUGAAAGGUACCUACAUGCAAAUUCAUUAUAGCAUCUGUUUAUGUUUGACGUUUUCCAUUUAUUAAAUAAUUUCUUCACAUCCAUUAAAUAAAAAGUUUAAAUAGGAAAAAGGCAGAUAUUACAAUUUGCGAUCUAUAUUCUUGCCUUCCCUAGGUACGUGCAUUAGUUUGCUAGAAAGGCUGCGACAAAGGGCAAACUGGGUGGUGGAGACCACUCUGGAGGCUAGAAGCCCAAGACCAAGGCGUUAGCUGGCUGGUUCCUCUGGCAGCCCAGAGAGGAGGAUCUGUCCCAGGCCUGUCACCUCGCUUCUGGGAGGUGGCUGUCUUCCCCCUGCAGACCUUCACAUCACCUCCCUCUAUGCUUCUUUCUGUGUCCAGGUUUCCCUUUUAUGAGGACACAGUCAUGCUGAACAGAGCCCUCCUAGUGACCUCACUUUAACUUCACUACCUCUGUAAACACCCUGCCAAAUAAGAUCACCUUCUGAGUUAUCAGAGGUCAGACUUCAACAUAUGAAUUUGGGAUGUAUGUUUAAGUGAAAACAAGACAAAACCAGAAACAAACAGAACAGAUGUGUACACAGCAUCUCCGGUGGCACCGGUGGGAUGAGGGAGGGAAACAAGAAGGAGGGGAUGGAACGAGGGAGAGGUGUUCUCUCCUUUCACGUUUCUUGACUUCUGUGCCAGGGCUUCCCACUGUCCCUAACCUAAGAUCAGAACCCCUUAACAAGGCUUACAGUGUCCCUGGUCACGCAGCUCCCCUGCACCUCUCCGCCUGCCUCACCUGUCCCCAGCUCUCUACCUGGAGCUAUGACCAAUCUCUCCUAGCCCCUCCAGACAGAUCCUCUGUCACUGCCGAGUUGACAUUCCCCCGCUGACGCACUCCAUCAAUCCAUGCUCACCAUCUAGAUCACAACUUGAACACGGCCCCAACGUCCCCCUGUAGUGACCUGCUACAGAACUGACAACACCAUGUGACUGCAGGCUGAAUGGGGUCAGGGACUAGCCCUGUAUAUGCCAUCCAAGACUCCUACGGCCCCAGCACGGUGCCUGGCAUUCAGUCAGAAGUGGGGGAGGAAAACAAGAAAGAGAAAAAAGUGAGAAAGCCGACAACCAAGGAGCUCUAGCAAGGGAGGGAAGAUGGGCACAGGGCAUGGGGGAGAGCACGCCGGCAUUAAACCACUGGUUAGCAGGAUAAACGUAUCCUUUCAGGGUCCAACAAAUAAUACUAACAAAUGGCAUUCCUUCAAUAACUUUAUAAUCCUACUUAGCAAAGAU
ensembl:lncRNA